AUGAUGGAGAGUUUGAUCCUGGCUCAGGACGAACGCUGGCGGCGUGGAUUAGGCAUGCAAGUCGAACGGUAUGGACCUUUCGGGGUUCAGAGAGUGGCGAACGGGUGAGUAACACGUAGGUAAUCUACCCUCAAGACGGGGACAACCCAGGGAAACUUGGGCUAAUACCGGAUGUGUGUAGUGGCUAUUUUUCUGAUUAUCAUUAUUUACGUAAGUGAGUAAUAAUAAGAAGGGAAAGUGGUUAUUACAUAAAAGGUGGCGUAAGCUGCCGCUUGGGGAUGAGCCUGCGUCCUAUUAGUUAGUUGGUGAGGUAACGGCUUACCAAGGCGAUGAUAGGUAGGCGGCCUUAACGGGUGGUCGCCCACACUGGGAUUGAGAUACGGCCCAGACUCCUACGGGAGGCAGCAGUCGAGAAUAGUCUACAAUGGACGGAAGUCUGAUAGUGCGACGCCGCGUGAACGAAGAAUCCCUUCGGGGUGUAAAGUUCUUUUAUACGUGAGCAGUGUCCUUUAUAUUAAUAGUAUAAGGGGAGAGAUAUUAGCGUAUGAAUAAGCAACGGCUAACUCCGUGCCAGCAGCCGCGGUAACACGGGGGUUGCGAGCGUUGUCCGGAAUUACUAGGCGUAAAGUGCAGGUAGGCGGAUAAAUAAGUUUAAGGUUAAAGGCUACGGCUUACCCGUAGUAAGGCGUUAGAUACUGUUUAUCUGGAAUGCGGUUGAGGGAGACAGAAUUCCUGGUGUAGCGGUGGAAUGCGCAGAGAUCAGGAGGAAUA
rnacentral:rRNA from 1 species